AAUGGGUGUUCUAGGGACUGAACUCGGGCCCUUGUAUUUUUCAGGGCUGACCAAGUCCUAAGAAACUUUUUCGUGGCAAACUAUGAAAAGUUCUGAAUAGUUACUCAAGCAUACAAGUAGAUAUCACUUUCUCCAUUGAUAAAGAUAGCAGACAUCUAUUACAGUGUCAGAGUGGGAGAAAAUAACCUGGCGGAUAUCCUGUCCCCCGUAGUUCUGUCCUUUGGCAUUGCAAUUCCUCAUCUAGUGCCUGCCGUUAGGAGGGACGUGGGUGGUUUCAGCCAGGCCAGCCACAGUGCAGAGAUGAAAGUCCACUCCACUGCUGAGGACCCGCCUCUGUGACUUUCAGCUUCUUUCUAGCCCUUCUCAGAAAACAAUGAAAAAUCUAUUUAAAACAAAACUGGUUUUGUGUUGCUUGUUUUGUGGUUGGUUCUGAGAUUCAAACUCAGGGCUUCAUGAAUGCAAGACCACUGACUUACAUCCCUUGCCCCCAAAAGUGUUUGUUAUUCAGUAAUUUUUUUGUACAUAUUGUUUGUACAUACAAUGUAUUUUGAUCAUUUUUCUCCACCAAUUCCUCCAAGAUCCUCUCAACUUCCCUACAUACUAAACUGUGUUCUUACUCACUGUCAGCCGGAUUCUCCCUGUCUCCCUCUUCCCAUUUCUCUAUCCAUCUCC
rnacentral:lncRNA from 1 species